rnacentral:rRNA from 1 species
UACGAAGGGGGCUAGCGUUGCUCGGAAUCACUGGGCGUAAAGGGUGCGUAGGCGGGUCUUUAAGUCAGGGGUGAAAUCCCGGAGCUCAACUCCAGAACUGCCUUUGAUACUGAGAAGCUUGAGUCCGGGAGAGGUGAGUGGAACUGCGAGUGUAGAGGUGAAAUUCGUAGAUAUUCGCAAGAACACCAGUGGCGAAGGCGGCUCACUGGCCCGGUACUGACGCUGAGGUGCGAAAGCGUGGGGAGCAAACAGG